UACGGAGGAUCCAAGCGUUAUCCGGAUUUAUUGGGUUUAAAGGGUGCGUAGGCGGCCUGUUAAGUUCGAGGGGUGAAAGACGGUAGCUCAACUAUCGCAGUGCCCUUGAUACUGAUGGGCUUGAAUGGACUAGAGGUAGGCGGAAUGUGACAAGUAGCGGUGAAAUGCAUAGAUAUGUCACAGAACACCGAUUGCGAAGGCAGCUUACUAUGGUCUUAUUGACGCUGAGGCACGAAAGCGUGGGGAUCAAACAGG
rnacentral:rRNA from 1 species